rnacentral:lncRNA from 1 species
AAUGAUAAUGCUGAUAAUGAUGAUUUUGUGACUCUCCCAGGCUGACACAGAACUCUUGCCGUACUCUGGACUCCAAGCUUUCCCAUUGAGCUGCAUCCCUGGGCUGCAGCAGAAAAAUGGUGGCUCUGGCUUUGGAAUGAAUUUCCCCUAAAUCAGUGUUUCUCAGACAUUCCCAUCAAAGGUGCCACCACCUUGGAUGAACCCAAUGGAGUUCGCCGCAAGCAUGAAAUUUCUGUGAGCAUUUUUAUGUUUUUUAUUUAUUUUUAAAAUUGUUAUGUUUUAUUUGAACACUGUAUGAGUUUGCAUUUAUAUUCAUGUCUAACAUCAAAUAAUACUUUAAAUUAUCAUCAGGUAAAAAACAUAUAAUUAUUUUUGUUGUUGUUUUUUAAAGACUUAUUUCUUCAUUUUGGGGGGGAAGGGCAAAGGAAGAAGAAGAAUCUCAAACAGACUCCCCGCUGAGUGCAGAGCCUGACACAGGGCUGGAUCUCGUAACCCUAGGAUCAUGACCUAAGCUGAAACCAAGAGUGGGAUGCUUAACUAAUGGAGCCACCCAGAAGCCCCAGAAGAUGUCUUUUUUUCCUAACCAAAUCAUUGAAUAAAAUGGAUUUUCCCAGAAAAU